rnacentral:rRNA from 1 species
GAUGAACGCUAGCGGGAGGCCUAACACAUGCAAGCCGAGCGGUAGAGUUUCUUCGGAAACUUGAGAGCGGCGCACGGGUGCGUAACACGUGUGCAACCUACCUUUAUCUGGGGGAUAGCCUUUCGAAAGGAAGAUUAAUACCCCAUAAUAUAAUGAUUGGCAUCAAUUAUUAUUGAAAACUCCGGUGGAUAGAGAUGGGCACGCGCAAGAUUAGAUAGUUGGUGAGGUAACGGCUCACCAAGUCAAUGAUCUUUAGGGGUCCUGAGAGGGAGAUCCCCCACACUGGUACUGAGACACGGACCAGACUCCUACGGGAGGCAGCAGUGAGGAAUAUUGGACAAUGGGUGAGAGCCUGAUCCAGCCAUCCCGCGUGAAGGAGGACGGUCCUAUGGACUGUAAACUUCUUUUGUACAGGGAUAAACCUACCCUCGUGAGGGUAGCUGAAGGUACUGUACGAAUAAGCACCGGCUAACUCCGUG